GACGAACGCUGGCGGCGUGCUUAAUACAUGCAAGUCGAACGCUUUUUCUUUCACCGGAGCUUGCUCCACCGAAAGAAAAAGAGUGGCGAACGGGUGAGUAACACGUGGGUAACCUGCCCAUCAGAAGAGGAUAACACUUGGAAACAGGUGCUAAUACCGUAUAACACUAUUUUCCGCAUGGAAGAAAGUUGAAAGGCGCUUUUGCGUCACUGAUGGAUGGACCCGCGGUGCAUUAGCUAGUUGGUGAGGUAACGGCUGACCAAGGCAACGAUGCAAAGCCGACCUGAGAGGGUGAUCGGCCACACUGGGACUGAGACACGGCCCAGACUCCUACGGGAGGCAGCAGUAGGGAAUCUUCGGCAAUGGACGAAAGUCUGACCGAGCAACGCCGCGUGAGUGAAGAAGGUUUUCGGAUCGUAAAACUCUGUUGUUAGAGAAGAACUAGGAUGAGAGUAGAACGUUCAUCCCUUGACGGUAUCUAACCAGAAAGCCACGGCUAACUACGUGCCAGCCGCCGCGGUAA
rnacentral:rRNA from 1 species